rnacentral:rRNA from 1 species
AUUGAACGCUGGCGGCAUGCUUUACACAUGCAAGUCGGACGGCAGCAUAAAGGAGCUUGCUCUUUUGAUGGCGAGUGGCGAACGGGUGAGUAAUGCAUCGGAACGUACCGAGUAGUGGGGGAUAACUGUCCGAAAGGAUGGCUAAUACCGCAUAUUCUCUGAGGAGGAAAGCAGGGGACCUUAGGGCCUUGCGCUAUUUGAGCGGCCGAUGUCUGAUUAGCUAGUUGGUGGGGUAAGAGCCCACCAAGGCGACGAUCAGUAGCGGGUCUGAGAGGAUGAUCCGCCACACUGGGACUGAGACACGGCCCAGACUCCUACGGGAGGCAGCAGUGGGGAAUUUUGGACAAUGGGCGCAAGCCUGAUCCAGCCAUGCCGCGUGUAUGAAGAAGGCCUUCGGGUUGUAAAGUACUUUUGUCAGGGAAGAAAAGCCUGAGGAUAACACCCUCAGGUCAUGACGGUACCUGAAGAAUAAGCACCGGCUAACUACGUGCCAGCAGCCGCGGUAAUACGUAGGGUGCGAGCGUUAAUCGGAAUUACUGGGCGUAAAGCGAGCGCAGACGGUUAUUUAAGCAAGAUGUGAAAGCCCCGGGCUCAACCUGGGAACUGCGUUUUGAACUGGGUAACUAGAGUGUGUCAGAGGGGGGUAGAAUUCCACGUGUAGCAGUGAAAUGCGUAGAGAUGUGGAGGAAUACCGAUGGCGAAGGCAGCCCCCUGGGAUAACACUGACGUUCAUGCUCGAAAGCGUGGGUAGCAAACAGG